rnacentral:tRNA from 1 species
GCAGUCGUGGCGGAAUUGGCAUACGCGCUAGACUAAGGAUCUAGUCCGGGUUUCUGGGUAGGGGUUCAAGUCCCCUCGACUGCACCA